rnacentral:tRNA from 2 species
GGGGGUGUGGCGAAAUUGGUAGACGCACUGGAUUUAGGUUCCAGCGCCGCAAGGUGUAAGAGUUCGAGUCUCUUCGCCCCCACCA